CUGACAGAAGAGAGUGAGCACACACGGUGCUUUCUUAGCAUGCAAGAGCCAUGCUGGGAGCUGUUCGUGCUCAAUCUCUAUCUGUCAG
rnacentral:pre_miRNA from 1 species